CACGUAGGGGCCAAGCGUUGUCCGGAUUUAUUGGGCGUAAAGAGCUCGUAGGCGGUUCGACAAGUCAGUUGUGAAAUCUCCGAGCUUAACUCGGAACGGUCAACUGAUACUGCUCGGCUAGAGUGCGGAAGGGGCAACUGGAAUUCUUGGUGUAGCGGUGAAAUGCGUAGAUAUCAAGAGGAACACCUGCGGCGAAGGCGGGUUGCUGGGCCGACACUGACGCUGAAGCGCGAAAGCUAGGGGAGCGAACGGG
rnacentral:rRNA from 1 species